AGCUCUGUAGUGAAGUUCAUAUCAGAUUGCAAAUCUGAAGACGUAGAUUAAUAUCUGCCGGGGCUU
rnacentral:tRNA from 1 species